rnacentral:rRNA from 1 species
UGAGUAACACGUGGGUAACCUGCCCUUAAGUGGGGGAUAACAUUUGGAAACAGAUGCUAAUACCGCAUAGAUCCAAGAACCGCAUGGUUCUUGGCUGAAAGAUGGCGUAAGCUAUCGCUUUUGGAUGGACCCGCGGCGUAUUAGCUAGUUGGUGAGGUAAUGGCUCACCAAGGCGAUGAUACGUAGCCGAACUGAGAGGUUGAUCGGCCACAUUGGGACUGAGACACGGCCCAAACUCCUACGGGAGGCAGCAGUAGGGAAUCUUCCACAAUGGACGCAAGUCUGAUGGAGCAACGCCGCGUGAGUGAAGAAGGCUUUCGGGUCGUAAAACUCUGUUGUUGGAGAAGAAUGGUCGGCAGAGUAACUGUUGUCGGCGUGACGGUAUCCAACCAGAAAGCCACGGCUAACUACGUGCCAGCAGCCGCGGUAAUACGUAGGUGGCAAGCGUUAUCCGGAUUUAUUGGGCGUAAAGCGAGCGGAGGCGGUUUUUUAAGUCUGAUGUGAAAGCCCUCGGCUUAACCGAGGAAGCGCAUCGGAAACUGGGAAACUUGAGUGCAGAAGAGGACAGUGGAACUCCAUGUGUAGCGGUGAAAUGCGUAGAUAUAUGGAAGAACACCAGCGGCGAAGGCGGCUGUCUGGUCUGUAACUGACGCUGAGGCUCGAAAGCAUG